UUUCCCAACCGGCCUGAGGGUGAAAUCAACUCAUAAAAGCAGGUAGAGCAUCACAGAGAGAGGUGGAGCUGGGAUCCCAACAUGCCAUACCUAGAGCCCACCCUGGAGUUUUUGUUUCUUUGCAGCUGGAAGUUAAGUUGUUUCUUUCCAGCUGGGAGUUUGGGAGAUCUAAAAACAUCCAAUAUAAAAGUAUGUGAUAAAUUAGCCUCUUCAGAAGCUUGGCUCCUAGAUCGGAGAUGAGAGUAACUCAUGGAAAAUGAGGAAACAAUCCAGUACAGUUGAGGAAUGCCUGUUUUUUACACUGUGUGGCACAGACUCUGAAUUUAAGAGAAUUUUAGAGGAAAGUUUGGUCAGCAAGAUGAGAGUCACCAUGGACCUCUUUGUGGAAGAGAUGGGGUUUGGGUCAGGUCAUAAAGAAUGAGUGAGAUUUGAGAAAAUGGGGAAUAGAGUUUCAUGUGACUGGGGAAGAUAAACGGAGAGGCUCCCAAUGAUGCCACCCAGAGUCCUGUUCUGCAGGCUGCAAGCAUCCUUCAGGAAUUGUGUGGCAUUCCCACCUGCUUGAGCCAGCAGCCUUUAAUUCCAUGUCUGGAACAGACGAUGGCUGGUGUCCGGGAUGAGAAACAUUCACCAAAAAUGGAGGUGGCGGCUGAUAAACCAUUUAUGUGUGAAGUUUUCCAGGGAGCAUUUGCACUUCAAGAGAAAAACAGAGCCUUCCAGCUCUGGAGAAGUGACAAAAGGUGGGGACAGUAUUAUGUGGCAGAGAGCUCUUCCUGUGAUUUAGCUAAAGCACCUGACUACAAUGCCAACCCUGCUCUGCAAAGGGCCCUUCCUCAUGCUGAAUGGCCACAGAUGAAGCAGACUUGUCUAUAGACACAAGGCUUCCAAGGGUCAACCACUGAGUGCAUGCCCAUCACGGGGUGGGUGAAUGUACCCUUUUACUGUUCACACCAUUCACCUUUUGUCCUAUGAGACACAGACUUCCCUAAGGCCCAGUUCACCCCAUUUUCUCCUAUCCUAAAGAUUAAA